rfam:Triticum urartu cultivar G1812 contig825156, whole genome shotgun sequence.
AUCCCUUCGGGGACAUCCAACAAAAUUGGAACGAUACAGAGAAGAUUAGCAUGGCCCCUGCGCAAGGAUACCUUGCACAAAUCGAGAAAUGGUCCAAUUUUUU